CUAUAACUUCUAAUAGAAUUAUUUGUUACCUUUUCUUUGCUCUGGACACCACACAUAGAAUCAUUCUCUUUUCUAAUUUGAAAGGCUAUAGAAAAGAUUAAAUGCUUACAAGAACAUCUUUUCUAUGUAUGUAGUAUUUAUUAUUAUUAUUUUUCUGAGUCAUAAUGAACUUAAAAUAUUUUAAUAUAUAUUAUCACACACACACACACACUUGCAGAACAAAGGUGAAGGUGGUUCAUCUAAUUCUAUACUUCAUGCUGCCUUUCCUUAACAGAGAAAAUGUGCUGCCUUUAUUUAACAGAGAGGAAGUGAAGGACCCAAAGCGUGUGUCACCAAGAGCUUCAACUGAGGAACGGUGUGAAGGCAAGGAACAAGUGUUAAGAAGCUUCACAUCAAAGGCAUUGACAACUUCCUGAUUGCAAAGAGCAAGAACAACUUGCAAAUGUUGAAUAUGUUGGUUUGAUUAAUUAUGCAGGCAAGACUGCAGUUCGUUAAUCUUUUUUCUUACGCUGAGGAUAACUAAGAAGUUUCCAAAGAGGAGUACAACUUAAAUCAGAAACUGGCAAAGAAAUAUGAAAAUGACAGAGGAUCAAGAAGAAGCCGAUCAAGAUAAAGAGGAAAAGGAUCAUGCCCAUGACUAAUAUGGCAUUAGAAACAUUCAGAGGCAGUAGGCAGUACACCCUCAUUAAAAUUGAGCACUUAUACUCAAAAUAUGUCAUCCAUAUGGAGGAAUGUGUUAAAUGGUUAGAACAUGGAGAAGACUGUAAAAGUACUUGGGCUCUCUCCCUCUGUGAACUAGAGAACUUCAUUUUAUUACUAUUAGUUGUUGGUUCAGUUAGAAAGCAAUUGAUAAUAGUUAUACAACUUGAAUGAAGUUAUACUACCCGCAGCAAAGCGCGGGAUCUCUAACUAGUUAUUUACU